AGCUUGCUUUGAUCAUCUUAGUGGCGGACGGGUGAGUAACACGUGAGCAACCUGCCUUUCAGAGGGGGAUAACGUUUGGAAACGAACGCUAAUACCGCAUAACGUAUACGGAUGGCAUCGUCUGUAUACCAAAGGAGCAAUCCGCUGAAAGAUGGGCUCGCGUCCGAUUAGCUAGAUGGUGAGGUAACGGCCCACCAUGGCGACGAUCGGUAGCCGGACUGAGAGGUUGACCGGCCACAUUGGGACUGAGACACGGCCCAGACUCCUACGGGAGGCAGCAGUGAGGGAUAUUGGGCAAUGGGG
rnacentral:rRNA from 1 species